UGUCUACAAUUAGCAACUCCAUAAGGCUGAAGCCUUGACUACUGUAACAGAGCUAUUUGUAUUGUAUCUUUCGGAACAUCUAUAUGUCGUGCAUAUCAACUGUAUAAAUCACUUAAAAUGGCAGGUGGUAGUGGUACAGUAGUAAAGUGUUGUUGUGACAAGGAAAGGGAUGGCGCAAAGGAGGAGUUGUGGUCAAUUGUUCUGCUGAAGUGAAAGUGAAAUACAUUUUUUUGUGUAUUUAGGAGGAAGUGAAGACUCAUAAAUAGAGCAACACAUACACAUAUGUGCCGAUUCAGGAGGAUGACAGGAAAGUGGGAUCAGGAUUAUGGUGACCUGAGCUGAGCCCAUACGGUAACUGUCUUUUCAGAAAUGGGACUUGUCUUUUUUUGUCUGUACUUUCACUUUGGAUGGCUGUCCUCAGUCAACCCUUUCUUGAUAUUUAUCUUCCUUAAACAAAUACUCCUCUCUGGUUCUCUCGUUUUGAUUUACACAAAGUAUUCCUUUUCCUGUUCACUUCUUCUAUUGAUCAGAGACACUUGCUCCCCUUCGCACCUUAAGAGGAGAUGACUUCAAUCAAUAAACAUGAAACAGGUUUUUCAAGACUUCAAGAUAUGAAUGGAACAGGAUAGACUGUCUUUUAUCCACCCCAAGAAGGCAGCUAAAUUCAGAAUAGAAAGUGAACCUGAGUUUAAAUGACAUUAGUUUAAAUUGUGAAUGGGACACUCAGUAGUGGUGUUAGCGGGUAGGGUGGUAACGGAACCCAUAAAGCAGCUGUGUUUUUCAAAAGCAGCUGGAUGUGAGCUCCGUUUCCAUCCCGUUUCGCAACAUCCAACAGUCUGACCGUUUGUAGAGAGAAACAUACUUCCUGGUGUACUUGAGUCAGUGAGUGUCUUUUAGUGUGAUGUGGCUGCAGUUGACUCUUCAAUAACUAAUAGGUGAUGUUCUUCAAUGACACGUUUUCUCCCGGAUUGACACAAACUAUAAGCCCCGGGAAUUUCGUGUCAGCAAAGAAUGACACCAGCUUCUAUAUAGGACAUGAGCAGCUUAAGCUAUUUAUUUUAGCUGAUUAAUGUAGUGUGUAAAUUGAUUUAUCGUCAGGCUAUUGUUUCUGAAUUGUUGCCCUGUUAUUCUGAAUUAAAAUAUAACUGGAUUUUA